rnacentral:rRNA from 1 species
UACGUAGGUGGCAAGCGUUGUCCGGAUUUACUGGGUGUAAAGGGCGUGUAGCCGGGUUGACAAGUCAGAUGUGAAAUCCUGCGGCUUAACCGCAGAACUGCAUUUGAAACUGUUGAUCUUGAGUACUGGAGAGGCAGACGGAAUUCCUAGUGUAGCGGUGAAAUGCGUAGAUAUUAGGAGGAACACCAGUGGCGAAGGCGGUCUGCUGGACUGCAACUGACGUUGAGGCCCGAAAGCGUGGGGAGCAAACAGG